rnacentral:rRNA from 1 species
CAAGMUAGCCAUGCAUGUCUAAGUAUAAACUAAUUAUACGGUWAAACUGCGAAUGGCUCAUUAAAUCAGUUAUAGUCUACUUGAUCGUAAAAUUCUACUUGGAUAACCGUAGGAAAUCUAGGGCUAAUACAUGCUAAAAGCGGUGACUACCUCCGGGUCGGAAGCCGUGAAUUUAUUAGAUUAAAAACCAAUGGCAGGGGCAACUCUGUCUACCCUAGGCGAUUCAUGAUAACGCAUCUGAUCGAAGCCUUGCGCUUCGACGAUACAUACGAAUUUCUGCCCUAUCAACUUUCGAUGGU